rnacentral:rRNA from 1 species
ACGCACGCUGGCGGCGUGCUUCACCCCUGCAAGUCGCACGGAAAGGCCCUGCUUUUGUGGGGUGCUCGAGUGGCGAACGGGUGAGUAACACGUGAGUAACCUGCCCUUGACUUUGGGAUAACUUCAGGAAACUGGGGCUAAUACCGGAUAGGAGCUCCUGCUGCAUGGUGGGGGUUGGAAAGUUUCGGCGGUUGGGGAUGGACUCGCGGCUUAUCAGCUUGUUGGUGGGGUAGUGGCUUACCAAGGCUUUGACGGGUAGCCGGCCUGAGAGGGUGACCGGCCACAUUGGGACUGAGAUACGGCCCAGACUCCUACGGGAGGCAGCAGUGGGGAAUAUUGCACAAUGGGCGGAAGCCUGAUGCAGCAACGCCGCGUGCGGGAUGACGGCCUUUGGGUUGUAAACCGCUUUCGCCUGUGACGAAGCGUGAGUGACGGUAAUGGGUAAAGAAGCACCGGCUAACUACGUG